rnacentral:rRNA from 1 species
GGCGAACGCUGGCGGCGUGCCUAAUACAUGCAAGUAGAACGCUGAAGGAGGAGCUUGCUUCUCUGGAUGAGUUGCGAACGGGUGAGUAACGCGUAGGUAACCUGCCUGGUAGCGGGGGUAACUAUUGGAAACGAUAGCUAAUACCGCAUAAUAGUAGAUGUUGCAUGACAUUUGCUUAAAAGGUGCAAUUGCAUCCCUACCAGAUGGACCUGCGUUGUAUUAGCUAGUUGGUGGGGUAACGGCUCACCAAGGCGACGAUACAUAGCCGACCUGAGAGGGUGAUCGGCCACACUGGGACUGAGACACGGCCCAGACUCCUACGGGAGGCAGCAGUAGGGAAUCUUCGGCAAUGGACGGAAGUCUGACCGAGCAACGCCGCGUGAGUGAAGAAGGUUUUCGGAUCGUAAAGCUCUGUUGUAAGAGAAGAACGAGUGUGAGAGUGGAAAGUUCACACUGUGACGGUAUCUUACCAGAAAGGGACGGCUAACUACGUG